GGAAUCUUGCGCGAUGGGCGAAAGCCUGACGCAGCAACGCCGCGUGCGGGAUGAAGGCCUUCGGGCUGUAAACCGCUUUCAGCAGGAACGAAAAUGACGGUACCUGCAGAAGAAGGAGCGGCCAACUACGUGCCAGCAGCCGCGGUGACACGUAGGCUCCAAGCGUUGUCCGGAUUUAUUGGGCGUAAAGAGCUCGUAGGCGGUUUAGUAAGUCGGGUGUUAAAACUCUGGGCUCAACCCGGAGAGGCCAUCCGAUACUGCUGUGACUUGAGUUCAGGAGGGGAGCGGGGAAUUCCUAGUGUAGCGGUGAAAUGCGCAGAUAUUAGGAGGAACACCGGUGGCGAAGGCGCCGCUCUGGACUGAAACUGACGCUGAGGAGCGAAAGCAUGGGUAGCAAACAGGAUUAGAUACCCUGGUAGUCCAUGCCGUAAACGGUGGGCACUAGGUGUGGGUUCCAACUAACGGGAUCCGCGCCGUCGCUAACGCAUUAAGUGCCCCGCCUGGGGAGUACGGUCGCAAGACUAAAACUCAAAUGAAUUGACGG
rnacentral:rRNA from 1 species